GACGAACGCUGGCGGCGUGCCUAAUACAUGCAAGUUGAGCGCUGAAGGUUGGUACUUGUACCGACUGGAUGAGCAGCGAACGGGUGAGUAACGCGUGGGGAAUCUGCCUUUGAGCGGGGGACAACAUUUGGAAACGAAUGCUAAUACCGCAUAAAAACUUUAAACACAAGUUUUAAGUUUGAAAGAUGCAAUUGCAUCACUCAAAGAUGAUCCCGCGUUGUAUUAGCUAGUUGGUGAGGUAAAGGCUCACCAAGGCGAUGAUACAUAGCCGACCUGAGAGGGUGAUCGGCCACAUUGGGACUGAGACACGGCCCAAACUCCUACGGGAGGCAGCAGUAGGGAAUCUUCGGCAAUGGACGAAAGUCUGACCGAGCAACGCCGCGUGAGUGAAGAAGGUUUUCGGAUCGUAAAACUCUGUUGGUAGAGAAGAACGUUGGUGAGAGUGGAAAGCUCAUCAAGUGACGGUAACUACCCAGAAAGGGACGGCCAACUACGUG
rnacentral:rRNA from 1 species